rnacentral:rRNA from 1 species
GACAGAGGUGCCAAGCGUUAUUCGGAAUUAUUGGGCGUAAAGGGCGCGUAGGCGGCCUGGCAAGUGGAAGGUGAAAUCCCCAGGCUCAACUUGGGAACUGCGUCCGAUACUGGAUGGCUUGAGUGCGGGAGAGGGAUGUGGAAUUCCAGGUGUAGCGGUGAAAUGCGUAGAUAUCUGGAGGAACACCGGUGGCGAAGGCGGCAUCCUGGACCGACACUGACGCUGAGGCGCGAAAGCUAGGGGAGCAAACGGG